AUUGAACGCUGGCGGCAGGCUUAACACAUGCAAGUCGAGCGGAGAUGAGGUGCUUGCACCUUAUCUUAGCGGCGGACGGGUGAGUAAUGCUUAGGAAUCUGCCUAUUAGUGGGGGACAACAUUCCGAAAGGAAUGCUAAUACCGCAUACGUCCUACGGGAGAAAGCAGGGGAUCUUCGGACCUUGCGCUAAUAGAUGAGCUUAAGUCGGAUUAGCUAGUUGGUGGGGUAAAGGCCUACCAAGGCGACGAUCUGUAGCGGGUCAGAGAGGAUGAUCCGCCACACUGGGACUGAGACACGGCCCAGACUCCUACGGGAGGCAGCAGUGGGGAAGAUUGGACAAUGGGGGAAACCCUGAUCCAGCCAUGCCGCGUGUGUGAAGAAGGCCUUAUGGUUGUAAAGCACUUUAAGCGAGGAGGAGGCUACUGAGACUAAUACUCUUGGAUAGUGGACGUUACUCGCAGAAUAAGCACCGGCUAACUCUGUGCCAGCCGCCGCCGUAAUAC
rnacentral:rRNA from 1 species